GAAAUAGAAAAGACGCAAAUAUGUCACGUGGCACGCAAAGAGCCAAUGAGCUUUUGAUAUCAAUGCCAUAAAGCAAUGUGUCGUAAGGCUUCUUGAGGCGCGAUAUUUGAAAUCAAAUUUAUAUUAGCAUAUGACGAACGCGCAAGGGCUGAAUUUGGAUCUGUUCCUGGGAAUCGUAUGAAUUUUAAAGAUGUGGAUUACAGAAUAAAAGUAACAUCUUUUGUGAAUUUAUGUUGUAUUUUGGUGUAAUUGUUGCUUAGUAGUAAUAAUAAUGUAUUGCAUAGAAGACACGUAUUGCAUAGAGAAAACGCGUUUUGUUUGUCAUGGCAAACUAAAUGUAACCGGGGCAUAAUAUGCUCUAUUCAUACCUACCCGCCACUAGGGGGCACUCGUGUUUACGUGAUGCAUAGUAGAGUGCACACAGAGGAAGAGUGUAUUACAUGUGUGUAUUGUGCUUGUUCAUAGCUGUCUGUAGCUGAGCACAUGAGCAGUUGUGUGUAAGAUUAAAAGCAAACAUCAGCCUUUCUUAAGGAAAGGAGGAAAGUCCUGCUUGUGUUUUGCUUACCAUCUUGUGCAUCACGUAUUUGCUGUCUGUCUGCAAGAUAUUUCCACGUGGAUAUACACAUAUCUAAUGUGGUGGAGAUUGAGCAGGGGAGAACAGAUACACGUGUGUCAGCGCCUCGUUUCAUGUUACAGCGUGUCACAGAAAUAGCAUCCAAAAGCCACUACCGUUGUUUAUAGGGGUAUAUUUCAUACAGGGCUAUUCUUGUGUGUUUUCAUUUAUUUUCUCUGUUGAUUUGGGAUCGUUAUAAUCUUGAGAAGGAAUGUGAGUUAAGGAGAAAUGUGUAUUAACCCUUUCUAAUCAGCCGAAUUUCACCCAAAGGGAGUGUUCAAUAGUUGGGCUACUGUUUUAUUUGUUUUAUUUAUUUUUCUUUAAACUGAAUAGGCCAUUGUAACCAAAUAUUUACAGUGUAUUUGGAGCUUGUGUUAAUUUGAUCUCUUUUUAUAUUUCUUGUAAACUUGGUUUAUUAUAAUAUACUACACAGGGGGAAAUUUCACAGUCAUUUAAUGCUGUGUUUUCUCUUAACUCAGUCGGAAAUAAAGAACCCCUGUUAGAUGUAUGUUUGUGCUGGAGUCUUUGUCAUAGUGUGAAGGUUUA